rnacentral:rRNA from 1 species
AUAGGCGAAAGCUGGACAGGGUUACUCUGAGUGAUUUCCGUUAAGGAGAUCUUUUGGCGCCUCUAGAAAUGGUGCGGAAUAAGGGGUGGGCAAGUCUGGGGUCAGCCGCCGCGGUAAUACCAGCACCCCGAGUGGUCGGGACGUUUAUUGGGCCUAAAGCAUCCGUAGCCGGUUCUACAAGUCUUCCGUUAA